UACGUAGGGUCCGAGCGUUGUCCGGAAUUACUGGGCGUAAAGAGCUCGUAGGUGGUUUGCCGCGUUGUUCGUGAAAACUCACAGCUUAACUGUGGGCGUGCGGGCGAUACGGGCAGACUUGAGUACUGCAGGGGAGACUGGAAUUCCUGGUGUAGCGGUGGAAUGCGCAGAUAUCAGGAGGAACACCUGAGGUGAAGACGGGUUGCUGGGCUGACACUGACGCUGAGGCGCGAAAGCUAGGGUAGCAAACGGG
rnacentral:rRNA from 1 species